rnacentral:tRNA from 1 species
GCCGUCGUGUUGAAAUUGGUAUACAAGCACGCUUGAGGUGCGUGUGGCGCGAGCCAUGGAGGUUCAAGUCCUCUCGACGGCA